AAGACCGACAGGCAGCAAGAAAUACUCCCAGUGUCGGGUGAUGUUCUCACUGUUCCAGGGGUCUGUUCUGUGAUUUGGGGACGAAGUGAACAGAAGUUUUGUGUUGACAUGUUGUCUGUGAGACUGUAUAAAGUGGACGUAAACGGAGCAAAGACAAUCAUCGGAGGCCACUUUAUUCCUGCUUACAGGUAAACAGCUCUAACAAGCUAAAACAUAAAUAUGUAUGACUCGACUGUCAUUCAUUUUACCUAUAAACAGGACAAAAAAGGACACAACUGAAAGAUGACGGAUGAAAAAGUCACCUUGCAGASAAGUCUUCUGAUGUUUGGUCAACACAAACGAACCUGUCCUAUUUUUAUUGUUUUUUAUUAUUAUUUUUAUUGUUUUUUUUUUUGUCAGAUUCAGGCAGCUGACAUUAUCUGAUGCAGCAGACAUGUUGGGACUUAUCAAUUGUACUUAAUUUGGUGCAGCUUCAAUGAGGGGACUGCACGGGGCAGGAGAGGUGGUGCACAGACACAGGGGGGGGGGGGGGUGUC